rnacentral:rRNA from 1 species
AGGCUACUGCUAUUGGGAUUCGACUAAGCCAUGCGAGUCAAGGUGUCUUCGGACGCCGGCGUACGGCUCAGUAACACGUAGGUAACCUACCCUCAGGACUGAGAUAACCCCGGGAAACUGGGGCUAAUAUUAGAUAGAUAAAAGGUACUGGAAUGUUCUUUUAUCCAAAGCUUUUGCGCCUGAGGAUGGGCCUGCGUCCGAUUAGGUUGUUGGUGGGGUAAUGGCCCACCAAGCCUGCGAUCGGUACGGGCAGUGAGAGCUGAAGCCCGGAGUUGGGGACUGAGACAAGGCCCCAGGCCCUACGGGGCGCAGCAGGCGCGAAACCUCUGCAAUGCGGGAAACCGUGACAGGGGGAUCCCAAGUGCUCAUGCAUUGCAUGGGCUGUUCUUUGGUCUAAGUAACCAGAGGAGUAAGGGCUGGGCAAGACCGGUGCCAGCCGCCGCGGUAAUACCGGCAGCUCAAGUGGUAGCCGCGAUUAUUGGGCCUAAAGCGUUCGUAGCCGGAUAAGUAAGUCUUUGGUUAAAUUCUGCGACUUAACCGUGGGAAAUCUAGAGAUACUGCUUGUCUUGAGACCGGGAGAGGUUGGAGGUACUCCCAGGGUAGGGGUGAAAUCCUGUAAUCCUGGGGGGACCACCUGUGGCGAAGGCGUCCAACUGGAACGGGUCUGACGGUGAGGGACGAAACCUAGGGGAGCGAGCCGGAUUAGAUACCCGGGUAGUCCUAGGCGUAAAUGAUGCGAGUUAAGUGUGGGGGCAUCCACGAGAUGGCCCUGUGCUGUAGGGUAGCCGUUAAACUCGCCGCCUGGGGAGUACGGUCGCAAGGCUGAAACUUAAAGGAAUUGGCGGGGGAGCACCACAAGAGGUGGAGGCUGCGGUUC